CAUGAUGCGACAUCUCCGCUCCGUUCCUCAUGUUGAAACUCCGCAGUCUGCAAAUCAAGCCUUCAAUCCACCUCAUAUUGUGUCAAGAAAGCAAGAACUUGAUUCUGCAUUGGUGGAUAUGAUUGUAAUGGAUGCACAACCAUUUUCAAUUGUUGAAGACAAAGGCUUCAAGGCUUUUGUCAACCUUUUGGACCCAUCCUACAAAAACAAUGGUGGAGGAGAAGUACAAAGCCAAAAAGGAGAAGGCCUUAGAUGUGGUUAGCAGGGCCUCUGCUGUCAGCCUUACAGCAGACAUGUGGACAUCCAUUAACAUGGACGCUUACUUGGCUGUAACAUGUCAUUUUAUCACCGAGGAGGUAGGUAUCCCCUGCUUUGUGCAAUGCUUUGGUUUAUGUAUCUCAGUUUGAUUUUGUUCAUUCUAGGUGGAGCUGGCCUCUGUGGUAUUGGGGGUUCUGAAGUUUCCCCAAACCCACACUGCAGCUCACUUGGCUGAGGCCAAAAAUCUUCUCAUGGAAGAAUGGGGAAUUAAAGGGAAGGUGACAGGCCUGGUUACAGACUGUGCUCCCAACAUGGUUGCAUGUGCUAAUAUAUUACUGCUUCGGCACAUAAUGUGUUUUGCACAUAUGCUUAAUUUGGUGGUGAAAAAGUCCCUCGCCCAAACCCCUGAACUAGAGGAUAUCCGAAGUAAGGGGCGUAGGAUUGUCUGUCUUUUUAAAUCCAGCACCACAGCGAAGGAGAAGCUGUCAGAGAUGCAGCGACAGCUGGCCAGGCCAGAGCACAAAUUAAUACAAGAGGUGAAACAUUUUCUUUUUUUUUUUUAUCUAAGAUUUUACAUGUUUUUGCAGUUGUUUAUUGUGUUACUUUCUUCUCUCCUUUAAAACGUGCUUGCUGUCUUAUCUUAGGUGGAAACGAGAUGGAACAGCACAUUUAAUAUGUUGGAAAGGCUGUUUAAGGAGAGAGAGCCACUGGGGGCAGCUCUGGCCACCCUCCAUACAGACCUUCCUCCACUCACCUCAGAGGACUACCAGGCCAUACACCACUGCUUGAGCGUUCUUUCACCGUUUCAAGAGGCCACAGUUGAGCUUUCGACAGAAAAACGAGUGUCAGCAUCCAAAGUCAUUCCCAUGGUCAAAAUGCUGAAACAUUACAUCUCAAGCAGGUGUGGUCAGAUCACACACCCACUUGGUGAAAAACUGGCCACUAACUUGAAGAACAAUCUCCAUGAGAGGUUUUCAGCUCUGGAGAAGGUCACUGCUCUGUCAAUGGCAACCUUGUUGGACCCAAGGUUUAAAGAGCUGGGGUUCUGCAGCCAAGGCUCUGCCCACACGGCCAUAGAGCGACUCACUAAAGAGUGUGCUGCAACAAUGCAGGUGCUACUUCCAGAGGCACAGCCACAGUCGCCACCUAGAGAAGGUCCUUCAAGUCAGCAGGAAGAUGGUCUCUGGGCCCUGCUGGACAGGCAUGUGGGGGUUCAACAGCAGGUGACCAGCACAACUGCCAGUGCAACAGUGGAGGUUCAGAGGUACUUAAAGGAACCUCACAUCCCAAGGACUCAGGACCCACUGAGAUACUGGGUUACCCACAAGGUUUUAUACCCACAUCUCUACAAGCUGGCAAUGAAGAUUUUAUGCACACCAGCUUCAUCUGUGCCUUGUGAGAGGAUGUUCUCCAAGGCUGGCGAAAUCGUCAGCCAAAGACGAAACAGGCUGAAGCCCAGCACAGUGGAGAAAAUUCUGUUUUUAAAUAAAAAUCUAUAACAUGUA